AUUGAACGCUGGCGGCAGGCCUAACACAUGCAAGUCGAACGGCAGCACAGAAGAGCUUGCUCUUUGGGUGGCGAGUGGCGGACGGGUGAGUAACACGUAGGAAUCUACCCAGUAGUGGGUGAUAACCUGGGGAAACCCAGGCUAAUACCGCAUACGCCCUGAGGGGGAAAGCGGGGGAUCUUCGGACCUCGCGCUAUUGGAUGAGCCUGCGUCGGAUUAGCUAGUUGGUGGGGUAAGGGCCCACCAAGGCGACGAUCCGUAGCUGGUCUGAGAGGAUGACCAGUCACACCGGAACUGAGACACGGUCCGGACUCCUACGGGAGGCAGCAGUGGGGAAUAUUGGACAAUGGGCGCAAGCCUGAUCCAGCCAUGCCGCGUGGGUGAAGAAGGCCUCGGUUGUAAGCCUUGGUGGGUAGGAGGCGAUCAUGCUAAUACCAUGGAUGAUUGACGUUACCCUACACGAAUAAGACACCGG
rnacentral:rRNA from 1 species